UACGUAGGGAGCAAGCGUUGUCCGGAAUCAUUGGGCGUAAAGCGCGCGUAGGCGGCCCCGUAAGUCCGCUGUGAAAGUCAAAGGCUCAACCUUUGAAAGCCGGUGGAUACUGUGGGGCUAGAGUACGGAAGAGGCGAGUGGAAUUCCUGGUGUAGCGGUGAAAUGCGCAGAUAUCAGGAGGAACACCGGUGGCGAAGGCGGAUCUCUGGGCCUUACCUGACGCUGAGGCGCGAAAGCUAGGGGAGCGAACAGG
rnacentral:rRNA from 1 species